UACGUAGGUGGCAAGCGUUAUCCGGAAUUACUGGGCGUAAAGCGCACGCAGGCGGUCUUGUAAGUUUGACGUGAAAGCUCCCGGCUUAACUGGGAGAGGUCGUUGAAUACUGCGAGACUUGAGUUUAGGAGAGGGGUGCAGAAUUCCCGGUGUAGUGGUGAAAUGCGUAGAGAUCGGGAGGAACACCAGUGGCGAAGGCGGCUCGCUGGGCCGGACCUGACGCUGAGACGCGAAGGCGUGGGGAGCGAACGGG
rnacentral:rRNA from 1 species